UUCUGAGCCUCCUUCCCUGGAAGAACCUCAUGAACCUCCACAUGUUCUGUUUUAUAGUCAUCACAACAGCCCUACUGAGAGUUGCCUACACAGGAAUUAUCAUCCCACUUUACCUGUGGAAACGCUGAGGGUUCAGAGAUCAAUGGACUGAUCCAAGGUCACAUGCACCCUGUGUUAUAAAAGAGUCCCAGACUUGGAGUCAGAAGGGCUGGGUGUGAAUCCCUGCUGCACCGACCAAUUGUCUAUGUUACCUUAAUCUCGUGGCUUCACCUCUCAAACUCUCUGCUCCCUCAUCUAUAAAAUGAAGACAGUAGCCCUUCCCAGGUGCCGGCUGAGUGGUGCGAUGGUUAAGAACUGGCUUGGGA